rnacentral:rRNA from 1 species
AGUGAACGCUGGCGGUAGGCCUAACACAUGCAAGUCGAACGGCAGCACAGUAAGAGCUUGCUCUUACGGGUGGCGAGUGGCGGACGGGUGAGGAAUACAUCGGAAUCUACUUUUUCGUGGGGGAUAACGUAGGGAAACUUACGCUAAUACCGCAUACGACCUACGGGUGAAAGCAGGGGAUCUUCGGACCUUGCGCGAUUGAAUGAGCCGAUGUCGGAUUAGCUAGUUGGCGGGGUAAAGGCCCACCAAGGCGACGAUCCGUAGCUGGUCUGAGAGGGUGAGCAGCCACACUGGAACUGAGACACGGUCCAGACUCCUACGGGAGGCAGCAGUGGGGAAUAUUGGACAAUGGGCGCAAGCCUGAUCCAGCCAUACCGCGUGGGUGAAGAAGGCCUUCGGGUUGUAAAGCCCUUUUGUUGGGAAAGAAAAGCAGCAGGUUAAUACCCCGCUGUUCUGACGGUACCCAAAGAAUAAGCACCGGCUAACUUCGUG